CCUACGGGAGGCAGCAGUGGGGAAUCUUGCGCAAUGGGCGGAAGCCUGACGCAGCAACGCCGCGUGUGGGAAGACGGCUUUCGGGUUGUAAACCACUUUCAGGGGGGACGAAGCUUCCGAGGUUAAUAGCCUACGGGGUGACGGUACCCCCAGAAGAAGCCCCGGCUAACUACGUGCCAGCAGCCGCGGUAAUACGUAGGGGGCGAGCGUUGUCCGGAAUCAUUGGGCGUAAAGCGCGUGUAGGCGGCUUGAUAAGUCUGGUGUGAAAUCUUGGGGCUUAACCCCAAGCCUGCACUGGAUACUGUCAAGCUUGAGUCCGGGAGGGGAGAGCGGAAUUCCUAGUGUAGCGGUGAAAUGCGCAGAUAUUAGGAAGAACACCGGUGGCGAAGGCGGCUCUCUGGAACGGUACUGACGCUGAGACGCGAAAGCGUGGGGAGCGAACAGGAUUAGAUACCCUGGUAGUCCACGCCGUAAACGAUGGGCACUAGAUGUGGGCGGUGUCGACUCCGUCCGUGUCGAAGCUAACGCAUAGUGCCCGCCGUCGGGAGGUACGGCCGGCCGACGGACGUAAACCGUACGAAGUAAGUAAGUUAGUUACGGCGUGAGACGUGCCGACGGCGACGACGAGGGAGGAGG
rnacentral:rRNA from 1 species